UACGUAGGGUGCGAGCGUUAAUCGGAAUUACUGGGCGUAAAGGGUGAGUAGGCGGAAGUACAAGUUAGAUGUGAAAUACCUGGGCUUAACCUGGGAGGUGCAUUUAAGACUGUAUUUCUAGAGUCUGUUAGAGGGGGGUAGAAUUCCAAGUGUAGCAGUGAAAUGCGUAGAGAUUUGGAGGAAUACCGAAGGCGAAGGCAGCCCCCUGGGAUAAGACUGACGCUGAGUCACGAAAGCGUGGGUAGCAAACAGG
rnacentral:rRNA from 1 species